GAUGAACGCUGGCGGCGUGCCUAAUACAUGCAAGUCGAGCGAACAGACGAGGAGCUUGCUCCUCUGACGUUAGCGGCGGACGGGUGAGUAACACGUGGAUAACCUACCUAUAAGACUGAGAUAACUUCGGGAAACCGGAGCUAAUACCGGAUAAUAUAUUGAACCGCAUGGUUCAAUAGUGAAAGACGGUUUUGCUGUCACUUAUAGAUGGAUCCGCGCCGCAUUAGCUAGUUGGUAAGGUAACGGCUUACCAAGGCGACGAUGCGUAGCCGACCUGAGAGGGUGAUCGGCCACACUGGAACUGAGACACGGUCCAGACUCCUACGGGAGGCAGCAGUAGGGAAUCUUCCGCAAUGGGCGAAAGCCUGACGGAGCAACGCCGCGUGAGUGAUGAAGGUCUUCGGAUCGUAAAACUCUGUUAUUAGGGAAGAACAAAUGUGUAAGUAACUAUGCACGUCUUGACGGUACCUAAUCAGAAAGCCACGGCUAACCACGUG
rnacentral:rRNA from 1 species